rnacentral:rRNA from 1 species
UGGCGGACGGGUGAGUAAUGUCUGGGAAACUGCCCGAUGGAGGGGGAUAACUACUGGAAACGGUAGCUAAUACCGCAUAACGUCGCAAGACCAAAGCGGGGGACCUCCGGGCCUCGCGCCAUCAGAUGAACCCAUAUGGGAUUAGCUUGUAGGUAAGGUAACGGCUUACCUAGGCGACGAUCCCUAGCUGGUCUGAGAGGAUGAUCAGCCACACUGGGACUGAGACACGGCCCAG